UAUAUAGGUGAAGAGUAAGUGAAAAAUAGACUCACCCAGGUGAUGUGCAUCUGAGUCUAUUUUUCACUUACUCUUCACCUAUAUAUUUAGUUAU